AAGGCUUUAAGUUAAUUAAACUAAUAGCCUUCAAAGCUGUAAAUAUAGGAGUACCUUUAAGCCUUA
rnacentral:tRNA from 1 species